rnacentral:sRNA from 1 species
AACGCAGAAAGGGAGCCGAAGCUCCCUUUCAAAUCGAAGUGCGUGCGUUGUUCUUGUUCUGUUCCGGGCGUGUUGUUCUUGUUGUAUGCCCGUCCCGGUUGGCUCGUUGGCUCCGGGAUGGCCCCCAACAGGGGAGCCAAUAGCAAACGGAUUUCUUUGGUCGCUGAUGUCGCCUGGGUCGUGUCGACCCACCAGUUCGGGUACUGCCUCGGGGCAGUU